rnacentral:rRNA from 1 species
GAGUAAUGUCUGGGAAACUGCCUGAUGGAGGGGGAUAACUACUGGAAACGGUAGCUAAUACCGCAUAACGUCGCAAGACCAAAGAGGGGGACCUUCGGGCCUCUUGCCAUCGGAUGUGCCCAGAUGGGAUUAGCUAGUAGGUGGGGUAACGGCUCACCUAGGCGACGAUCCCUAGCUGGUCUGAGAGGAUGACCAGCCACACUGGAACUGAGACACGGUCCAGACUCCUACGGGAGGCAGCAGUGGGGAAUAUUGCACAAUGGGCGCAAGCCUGAUGCAGCCAUGCCGCGUGUAUGAAGAAGGCCUUCGGGUUGUAAAGUACUUUCAGCGGGGAGGAAGGGAGUAAAGUUAAUACCUUUGCUCAUUGACGUUACCCGCAGAAGAAGCACCGGCUAACUCCGUGCCAGCAGCCGCGGUAAUACGGAGGGUGCAAGCGUUAAUCGGAAUUACUGGGCGUAAAGCGCACGCAGGCGGUUUGUUAAGUCAGAUGUGAAAUCCCCGGGCUCAACCUGGGAACUGCAUCUGAUACUGGCAAGCUUGAGUCUCGUAGAGGGGGGUAGAAUUCCAGGUGUAGCGGUGAAAUGCGUAGAGAUCUGGAGGAAUACCGGUGGCGAAGGCGGCCCCCUGGACGAAGACUGACGCUCAGGUGCGAAAGCGUGGGGAGCAAACAGGAUUAGAUACCCUGGUAGUCCACGCCGUAAACGAUGUCGACUUGGAGGUUGUGCCCUUGAGGCGUGGCUUCCGGAGCUAACGCGUUAAGUCGACCGCCUGGGGAGUACGGCCGCAAGGUUAAAACUCAAAUGAAUUGACGGGGGCCCGCACAAGCGGUGGAGCAUGUGGUUUAAUUCGAUGCAACGCGAAGAACCUUACCUGGUCUUGACAUCCACGGAAGUUUUCAGAGAUGAGAAUGUGCCUUCGGGAACCGUGAGACAGGUGCUGCAUGGCUGUCGUCAGCUCGUGUUGUGAAAUGUUGGGUUAAGUCCCGCAACGAGCGCAACCCUUAUCCUUUGUUGCCAGCGGUCCGGCCGGGAACUCAAAGGAGACUGCCAGUGAUAAACUGGAGGAAGGU